CCUACCUACUUGAGAACAGCAUUCUGAUGGACAUCAGAUUACAGGGACUUGACACAGAAACACUAAAUACUAUUGGUGGAUACGUCAACAUUGUUGAUACUGCAAUACAAAUCUGUUUAUGCCUACCUACUUGAGAACAGCAUUCUGAUGGACAUCAGAUUACAGGGACUUGACACAGAAACACUAAAUACUAUUGGUGGAUACGUCAACAUUGUUGAUACUGCAAUAAAAUCUGUUUACACCUACUUCACAAAAGCAUUCUGAUGGACUUCAUGAAUACAGGGACUUAAUGUAGAAACAAUAUGUACUAUUUUGAAUGUGUGUCUGUAUUGCUAGUAUUUUAAUGUAAUAAUGUAAACUAGUCAGUUAACAACAUAGUGGUGAUAGGAGGUAUGUACAGAGUAUCUGUGUAAUUUGCAAAACCCGUUAUAUCAUGUUUACAAAAAUAUUAAGUAUUUAGGAAAAACGUUUAGAAUUCUUCUUAUGCUAUUUUAUAUUGAUUGCAUAUGCUUUAUAAAAUUAAAUUAAAUGCUAUUAGUAUCCUGUCAAAUGCCUUAUAGUUACAGAAUUUUCAUAUUAUUUUUAAUGAAAGAAAUCAUUGAAUCUGAUAGGUUUUACAUCUGCAAAAAUGAUUAACUGUCAUACGUAAACAAGUGCUGCCACUACUUAUUACAACUGAUGCAUUAAUUCAACUUUCUAAAAAAUAACAAUAACUAUCAAAGGUGUAAAAAUAACUUUUUAGCCAAACAAAAUAGAAAAUAGAGUAAGAAAAUCCAAAUAAACUGGCUUACUACUGAAUAAAGUUGUAUAGCAUAAUAAAGAACUGGUUUUGCAUCUGUUCUUUCAAAACAGCCUUCUUGAACCAAUGAGUUUAAUUUGCUUGGCACUGUAAACAUGGCAGAUAGAUUUGACGUAUCUUUGUCCUGGAGCUGUAAUGGAUAUAUCUGGUCUUGGAAAUUGGUGCAGGUUUUAAAUUAAAUUUUCAUGUGUUUUAACAGGUUUAUACACAAACUGUAUUCAGAACUAUAGUAUAUUAGCUAUAGUUCCCAUGGAACUUAAUAUCUAAACAAUUUUCUAAUGCGGAUUUAACAGGUUUUGCAAUAACAUUGGCUUAACGACUUAAGAACUGCUACUGAUGAAUGUGUGUGCACUAUUGGUAGAUGACCAAUACAAACCAGUUAAUUGACAACAACUGAUAGACGUUACGUAGAAACAAGUAAUAUUGGUUGUAGAUACUCCUAAUUGACACUAAUUGUUGAUACUCAAUUAUAAAGUAUUCACAUUACAAUAACAUACUGAUUGGAAACUGGUACAGAGAGGCACAGAGAUACUAAGAUAGUGAAUGUGUGAGCAUUGAUAUACUAAAAUACAAACCAAUCACUUUACAGCUACAUUCUGAUGGGGACAGGAUUACAGAAACACUAAGAACCUACUUAUUGUGAAGAUGACUGCAUUGUAAACAAAAUGUUAUUAAAACUUUCUGAUCAACUUUAAAUUUCAUUCGUUUAUAUAUAUUAUAAAAAGACUAUUCUAAAUUUAAACGAAUUACUGUAUUUAUCUACUAAAAUAGCUUCCAUCUGGAGCUGAAGUUUUUAAUUUUUUUUUAACUUAACAAUUUGUACAUGAUCAGGAUGUACACUAUUUAGUUUUUUUUUACUAACCAAAUAGUAGUCGAUUAUGACAGAAAAAAAUAUCACUAGGACAAAUUCAAUUAAUUUUAACUGAAUUCUUGUUAAUUGAGUUAGGGUUUUUGUUUGUAUCUAUGUUAGAAGAAAACUAAAUAGAAUUGUUCAUUCUUGUCAUGUACAAAAGUUUUAAGCAUAUUCACAUUAUAUGGAAUAAUUAUUUUCAAAUACAUAAAUACGCUUUAAUUAUUAUGGAGUUCUGUUGCUUUAUGAAAAGAUGUAAUAUAUAGGCACCAGUUGUGCGUUUUAUCUGAUAAUCUGAAUUUGUAAAGCAGUACAUAAUACUUAAUAUUACUAUGACUACCAAUAAACAUAAAAAGUUCAAUUAAUUUAUAAAUUCAUUCUUCUCAAAUAUAAUUUGUUUCAGAAUGAUUGGUUUAUCAAGCUCUAGUCAGGCUCAUAAAUGUUAUUGAUUUUAUCACCAAAUAAUAUAUCAAAUUAUUUUGAAUACAAUGAAGAAGCAUGAACAUCAAAAUUAAUUUGUUUCGGACUAUGAUUAAUAUUAAUUUUAACAUAUACAUCUAUCAUAGUCCAUUAUCUUGCUUUAAUAAUGUACAAAUAAUUAUUUAACAUUGAUGUAUACCUUAAGAUAUAUCAACGAUGUUCCCCCCAUAAAAUGCAAGUAUACAACGAUUCAUAUUCUAGCUAGUUCCCAACUUAAUGUGAUCCCUUUUUAACACAUGAAUUGUAAAUACUUGCCUAUUUUGGUAACGAUUCCUGUAAAUGUUUGAUAAGACAAUCGAAACAAUGUAUAUAAGAUUGUUUAGUAUUUAUAAGUCAAAAGUGUGCCGAAAUUAUAUACUAUAAAUAAUAAAAACAAAAAUAAAACUGAACUUAAUUUGGUUUUUCAAUUUAACUUAAUGUAGUCAAAGUACUGACUGUGAAUUAUUACUAAACUUACUUUGAGCACUUGUUAGAGUCAGAAAUCGUUUAGUCACUAAAAUAAUGAUAAUAAAUUAACAAAAUUGUUAAAAUUACUCUAGUAAUUUAUAAUUACUUAUUUUUAAGAGGAAUUAAUGAAGAUUAAUUAUUCAACACUGUUUCCAGUGUAUUAAUGUCAUAAUUAAAGUUUGUGAUUUAAACAUAUAUUAGUUAAUAUCGGAAUGUAAUAUAAUAAAACAUAAUCAUUUAAGUUUGUACCUCUUAUAAAUACUCUUCAACAAAUGUUUGCUCGUUAGGUUUUUUAAUUCACAACACAUUAAAAUCUAAAGUUAUAUGGCACAUGUUCUAAAAUUAUAUUUCCGGCGCAGGUGUAGCAGAAAACGUUUAAUCCAUUAAUAAAUUACAAUUAUUAAUAAACUGAAGUAAUUUAAAUAAUUAUUGUACUUGAUUAUAUAUCUUUUAAGUAUAUUUAUAUUUAGUACUAUCAGUUAUAUAAUUUAUUAAAUUUUACCUUUCAAUUUAUUUUAUCUUAUAUAAAUAGUUAAACCUUGGGAAAUUUUAUAAAAUGGAUUUAACUUCACAUGUAUACUUUUAUUAUCACUAAAAUGUUUUGUGUAUGUGAAGAAAUGCCUGAAAACAAUGCAUUUGUAGAAGAUAAAUGAAGGUAUUUUAUUAUUAAGAGAAAAAUCCAUAUAUGAAAUGUAAGAAGUUCAUUAUGGUGUUCAUUAAAAAGUUCAACUCCCUUAUAAUUUGUGAUUAGCAACCUCUUGUUCUCAAAACAUGUCUCCCACAUGUAGACAACUGAUGGGUCUUGCCACCUACAUGACAGGUAGUCAUUUCCAUGUAUAUAUUUGGUUAUAUAAUGAUAUCUGUUGAUGGGGGGCAAAAAGUAAAUUAGGAAAAUUGUUGUACCAAAAAACAUUUGUCGUUUUUGUAAUUGAUUACAUUGAUCUAAAUUCUCCUCAUCACAUCAGCCUUUGUACCUGUGUAUUCAUCUGUCAUUGAAGUUAUAAAUCUUACUUGUAAAGAUGGAUUGCAAGACUAUUUUAAAAUGUAGUGCAUUCAAAAAAUCAUUUAAAAUUGGCAUGCUUUCCCUUAGAUUGUAUUUGCAUGUUUAACAUUUUAAAAUAUUUUUAGAACCUAUUGUGAAGGGACAUUUUGAACAAGUUGUAUACAUUACAUACCUUAUCUUCUGUAGUUAAAUAACAGAAAAAAGAAUAUACUUUACAGCGAAAUAAUCCAAUUGUUUAUUUUAUUUUACAUUGUUCUAGAAAACUGGAAAAUGUGCCAUAUCUUUUUCACACACAAACACAAACACAUACAUUUACAGAUACGGAGUCACACAUUGUCUACUCUUAAAAUUAUUAAGUAAAUUGACUGAUUAAUUUUUGAAACAAAAUAAUACACAUUUUUAGUGACAUAACCUCAAAUUUCAUUUACUACUAGAAGACUGUGUAAUGUUUGGUUUGUUUGACUAAAGAACGAGAUGGUCGCUCAGUUCCUGUAUAGCCUAGUCUUACUUAGUAAUGAUGAAAAACCAGCGCACAUUAGAAAUAACAAGGUUGUUUUGUAUAAAAUAUAAAUGUUAAAAUGUAUUAAAUAAAUAUUAUUUGUAAAAUAGUAAUAAAGUUUGUAUUAGUUAAAGAUAAAAUGUUGUUGAGUUUUAUAUAAAAUAGAAAAAAUAAUAAAAUGUAAGGUUUCUAACAGAGCCUACUAUUUAAGGCUUUAAUUCCAUAUUUAAUACGGGUAUUUGAUGUACUGACUGAAUAAAUUAAAUCCUCAAAA